CUUGAUCGAGCCCAGCAGCAGAGGACGGUCCGCCGCUCGGUCCUGGCCGUACGUGGCCAGCAGCGCCUGGGCCUC
rnacentral:antisense_RNA from 1 species